GAGGAAUAUUGGUCAAUGGGCGCGAGCCUGAACCAGCCAAGUAGCGUGAAGGAUGACUGCCCUAUGGGUUGUAAACUUCUUUUAUAAGGGAAUAAAGUGAGGCACGUGUGCCUUAUUGUAUGUACCUUAGGAAUAAGCAUCGGCUAACUCCGUGCCAGCAGCCGCGGUAAUACGGAGGAUGCAAGCGUUAUCCGGAUUUAUUGGGUUUAAAGGGAGCGUAGGCGGACUAUUAAGUCAGCUGUGAAAGUUUACGGCUCAACCGUGAAUUGGAGUUGAAAAUGGUCGUCUUGAGUGCAGGUAAGGUGGGGGGGAAUCGUGGUGUAGCGGUGAAAUGCUUAGGUAAUAACAAAAAAUCCAAUUGCGAAGGCAGCUCACUGGAGUGUAACUGACGCUGAUGCUCGAAAGUGUGGGUAUCAAACA
rnacentral:rRNA from 1 species